GGAGACAGUCAUAGAGAAAUGUGUUGUUGGCAUCGAUUUCCUAUGGUUGGGCAAUGGCUUCCGCCAUCUGGACCAGGUGACGUCAGCUAUCUGGAUUUCUGCCAGCAUUCCCCGGCCCAGGAAACAGACUUCCGGCUGUCUGGGCUCUGAGCCAUCUUCGGCCUCCUGGAGUUGGAUGCUGAAACUUGCAGUCACACAAGGACUUGAACCUAGAGCUUUUCUAAAGCCCGUACUCUUUCCAGUACCCUGAGCCAGGGGAGCCAGCGGGCAGAAAUGACGUGUGAGGUACCCUCUCUCUCUUCACUUCCAUGUGAUCUGUUACUCAUUUUGUCAAGACAUCCUGGGUCCCAGGUGCCAGGUGCUACACAAGAUACUGGCUAUAGCAGCGAACAGGACAGCCCGUCUCAUCCUCAUGGAGGUCACAGGACAAUGAGAAGAAAGACUUUUUUAUUUUUAUUUUUUUGAGACGGAGUUUUGCUCUUGUUGCCGAGGCUGGAGUGCAGUGGUGUGAUCUCGACUCACUGCAACCUCCGCCUCCCAAGUUCAAGCAAUUAUCCUGCCUCAGGCCUCUUGAGUAGCUGGGAUUACAGGCACCUGCCACCACUCCUGGCUAAUUUUUUGUAUUUUUAGUAGAGACAGGGGUUUCAUCAUGUUGGCCAGGCUGGUCUCGAACUCCUGACCUCAGGUGAUCCACCCACCUCGGCCUCCCAAAGUGCAGGGAUUACAGGCAUGAGCCAUCGAACCCGGCCCAAGAAGAAAGACAUUGAACAAGUAAUUACAGGGUAUUGGGUGUUAUGAAAGAAAAGCAUGGUACUGUAUAAUGAGGUCAUCUAAUUUAGUCUGGGGUGACAAGGAAUGCCUACUAAAGAAGGUAUCGUUUAAGACAUACCUGGGGAAUAGCGGUAGUGAAAAUAGAAGCUCCAGAAAUGCAGGGACCAUGGCUGACAUGUUUACCAUGCCAGUGUCUGGCAUGGAAGAGGCCCAAUUCCUUUGGUUGAAAGGAUGAAGUAAUCUAGCUGAAUAAAGGGUGUGUGCGUGCACGCAGGUGUGUUUGUAGUUAACCUUCCUUUAGCUCAGCUUAGGAAACAGCUUUUGUAAAACUGCGUAACUAGUAGUAGGUGAGAGAGGAAUACGAAUGAUAUACACACCAUUAAAGACAACUUACUAACAGCAUGA
rnacentral:lncRNA from 10 species